rnacentral:sRNA from 1 species
UGAUAUUGCUCGGUAGACCGACGGUCCGAA